rnacentral:rRNA from 1 species
AUUGAACGCUGGCGGCAUGCCUUACACAUGCAAGUCGAACGGUAACAGGUCUUCGGAUGCUGACGAGUGGCGAACGGGUGAGUAAUACAUCGGAACGUGCCUAGUAGUGGGGGAUAACUACUCGAAAGAGUGGCUAAUACCGCAUGAGAUCUACGGAUGAAAGCAGGGGAUCGCAAGACCUUGUGCUACUAGAGCGGCCGAUGGCAGAUUAGGUAGUUGGUGGGAGAAAAGCUUACAAAGCCGACGAGCUGUAGCUGGUCUGAGGGGACGAUCAGCCACACUGGGACUGAGAAACGGCCCAGACUCCUACGGGAGGCAGCAGUGGGGAAUUUUGGACAAUGGGCGCAAGCCUGAUCCAGCAAUGCCGCGUGCAGGAUGAAGGCCUUCGGGUUGUAAACUGCUUUUGUACGGAACGAAAAGCCCCGGGUUAAUACCCUGGGGUCAUGACGGUACCGUAAGAAUAAGCACCGGCUAACUACGUGCCAGCAGCCGCCGUAA